rnacentral:rRNA from 1 species
UCUGCUAGAAGAUGGCCUUGCGUCUGAUUAGAUAGUUGGUGGGGUAACGGCCUACCAAGUCGACGAUCAGUAGCCGGACUGAGAGGUUGAACGGCCACAUUGGGACUGAGAUACGGCCCAGACUCCUACGGGAGGCAGCAGUCGGGAAUAUUGCGCAAUGGAGGAAACUCUGACGCAGUGACGCCGCGUAUAGGAAGAAGGUUUUCGGAUUGUAAACUAUUGUCGUUAGGGAAGAGAAAGGACAGUACCUAAGAAGGAAGCUCCGGCUAACUACGUGCCAGCAGCCGCGGUAAUACGUAGGGAGCGAGCGUUAUCCGGAAUUAUUGGGUGUAAAGGGUGCGUAGACGGGAAGAUAAGUUAGUUGUGAAAUCCCUCGGCUUAACUGAGGAACUGCAACUAAAACUGUUUUU